rnacentral:rRNA from 1 species
GUAGUCAUAUGCUUGUCUCAAAGAUUAAGCCAUGCAUGUCUAAGUAUAAGCAAUUAUACAGCGAAACUGCGAAUGGCUCAUUAUAUAAGUUAUCGUUUAUUUGAUAGUACCUUACUACUUGGAUAACCGUGGUAAUUCUAGAGCUAAUACAUGCUAAAAAUCCCGACUUCGGAAGGGAUGUAUUUAUUAGAUUAAAAACCAAUGCCCUCCGGGGCUCACUGGUGAUUCAUGAUAACUCCUCGAAUCGCAUGGCCUUGCGCCGGCGAUGGUUCAUUCAAAUUUCUUCCCUAUCAACUUUCGAUGUUUGGGUAUUGGCCAAACAUGGUUGCAACGGGUAACGGAGGGUUAGGGCUCGACCCCGGAGAAGGAGCCUGAGAAACGGCUACUACAUCCAAGGAAGGCAGCAGGCGCGCAAAUUACCCAAUCCCGACACGGGGAGGUAGUGACAAUAAAUACUGAUACAGGGCUCUUUUGGGUCUUGUAAUUGGAAUGAGUACAAUUUAAAUCCCUUA